CUGAGGCUCUGAAAGCCAAGGAACCCGGGGAGCUGGCAUGGCUGGGUGGCCUCUCUGAUCUGGUCCACACCCCCUUCCCCAGCCAUCUGGGCUGAGCCUACUCUGGCCUGGGCCACACUCUGGGACCUCUCCCCUUCAAUGCACACAGCCACCUUUAUCCAAAGCUUAUAGAUCUUAAAACCACAUGGUCUACACACACACACACACACACACACACACACACACACACACAGGGCGGCGGCGGGUUGGGGGGUGUCUUUGCAAAAGGUGCUGAGGUGUUGGCAGGGAUGGGGGCUCUAAGCUGAAAGAACUUUCCCUAGAGGAACAGGUCACCCAAAACCACUCCCAACCUCCACCACCCUCCAGCAAAGCCUUUAGCCACCCAAGUGUGAGAGGCGCCUGGAAAGGGGCAUUAGUUCCCCUCCAAGGUGAGUAGGGAGCGGGGGGUGGGGUGGGGUGGGUGGGUACCGAAGUCCCGAGCUCUUGGGGCUGGGAGGCCAGGAGGAAGCAAGAGAGAAAUCCUCCGGGGAGCUCAGGUCCCUCUCCCGCUCCCUCCGCGAUCGCCCCGGCACUGCCAAUUCUCUGGUCGAGGUGAGGUGGGGGAAGGGGCAUUAAGCAAUACUGCAAAGGAGGGUGCAAGGGCGUGGGGCCUGGGCAGACCUUCCCCCCACUUUCCAUUCUUAGCCUGAGAUCGGGCAGUGCCUGGGGCGAGUGCAGGAAGGGCGCUGCAGGGCGCGGGGGCUCCGAGCUUUCAGACACCCCACUGUUCCCAGGCCCCCACCUCCCAGGACCACAGUGAGCAGUGGGGGAGGAGGGAUGGGGAAAGCCUGAACUGGCGAAAGGGAAACGACCAGAUGAGCAGCGGGGACGCCAGGCGGAAGGCGGCCGAGGGGGAAUUGGGAAGGGGUGUGCGCGGUCCUACCUGCUCAGGGGCCCGCUCCACCUCCAUGCAGAAACACCAGUAACGUGUAGCUCCCAAUGAGAAUGGCCCAGAGAUGGAGGGAAAGGCAGCACCUUUCUCGGUUCAUUCAACAAUCGUUUACUGAAUACCUACCAGGUCCCGGACCCUGUCCUAAGUGCUGCGGACAGACACAAAUCUUCAUCUGCUUCUUUGAAGAAAAAUAAAUCAGGAUAUAGACACACAGCCUACCACCUUCAAGAGGAAGAAUGUGGGUCAGCAUCUUUGCCUCUACUCCAUGUGAAACAGGUUACGAUCCUGGCAGAAACUAGUAACCACAAGCCCAGCCCAGCCCUCUAAAAAUCCCACUACCUUCCCAUAGCUCUCAGCUUCAGUGGGAAAAGCCAGCAAGGAAAGGACUUUUCUUCCUCUUCUCGGUCUGCGCCCCGGCUGUCUGAAUUACACUUAAGACUCUACUGACAAACAUACAUCAGCUUUUGCUCCCACAAGGGCAGCGGAAGCCAAGCAGGGACUCUAAGUCGGCUUCACGCAUCAUUGACAGAACCAACCCUGUUCCAAUUGCUGAAGUCUUAAGAGCAGCAAUGACCUAGAAAUUGACAGUGGGGGGAGAACUGAGGGAAAGGAAACUAACAACCCAAUACAGAGAAAAACCUAUUUCCAAAUACCAGGGGAAAGGGAGAGAAAAGAGGUAGAGGGGAAAGAAAUUUGGCCCUUUUGAAUCUGCAAAUGCGAUCUUGGCUCCGAGCCAUGGAGGAUACAUAGCAGCCCCACUGCGAGUCAAGCCAUGUUCCUGACUCAAGCCCUACAGUUAAGAGGAAGGCGCCAAGCCUCAAACACAACGAGGUGGGGAGGCCGCUCCUUUCUGGGCAGGAUCCUACUGUGGACACAGAACAGACAGCAGCUGCCCACAGUGUGGAAACAAACUGUAAAGCAGUCACGUCUCUUAAGGCUGCAGCAUC